rnacentral:lncRNA from 1 species
AGUCUGAGCAAAAGGAGGGAAGUUCAGAUGGCUUGGAUAACAAACCUUCUUGUUCUAAGACUACCAGUAAUAAAACAAAGGCAUCCAGCUUGGCAAGCUCAACACCUUCCUCAGAGAAAAGAAAAUGGAAAUCAGAAGAGACAGGAAUCUGUAACAUAAAAGGACAGCUAGAAUUUCAAAGAUUCAAAGUACAUAAAGAUGUUCAAGAGAAGAAACAAAAGCAAAUUUCCUAUGUUCCACAAGGCACUAUUGAAGGGUUCCAAGGAGAGUCUUCAAACGAUAGCAAAACAAUCAGUGCUGUUUUGAUUCAAACUGAGAAGCGAAAAAGGAUAUCUAUACAGUUUAAACAUCAUGAUGUUAAACAUGGAAGAGAGAAAAACCAAAGUGAUUCUGGCGUGGUCCCUACUAGCAGGGAAAUCUGUAAAAAAGACCACUAUUUUGACA